AUUUAAGGGCUGGCUGCCUCAAGGGAUGGUUUUCUAUCUGGAGAUCCCUACUGGAGUAUUUUGUGGUCUCUGAUUCUUAUGAUAGAGCAGUGUUGACAUUUCUUGAGCCUGCUGUAUAUAAAUAAAUGAAGAAAAUCAGAGCAUUUACCCUUCUGAAGAGCAAGUGCGCCAUGCUGGUCAGCCGUGAUAAGGGGCUGAUGGACACUGGACAUACUCUAGGGAGCCUGAAAGGCAGUUUUUCAAUUGCAUUGGAUUUUGCCCUGCCAUUUUUUGAGUGGGGAGAAGAGAUUUCAGAUGGGGAAAAAAAAAUCAGCAACGAUCCAGGAACAUCUAGCUGUUUCCCACUGGAAACUGGGAACUGCUGAUUGCUACAAAUCUGUUUAAGGUUGGAAAAUCUGCAGCUGGCAGAGACAUCACUGAGGCUUAUGGUAAAGUCCCUGAGGCUUUCCGUCUGCUGAUGAAUUGAUGAAGGGCUUCAGUGAGUGAGCAUGUGCAGGUGUCUUUCUGCCCAUUUCCUUGAACCAAAAAGUGUUUAUUCUGGAAGCUGAUCCUCUAAAAUCAGUCACAAAGCAUAUAUUGUAAUGGGAGUGAGAGUAGCUAAAUCUGGCCUGAAGAAAACUGACAGAAAUGAUGCAUUUCACCUGAAGAAAGCUUGACACAAUGUAAAGAAGGGAAACCACAAAUAAAUCAAUUUAAACUCAAAUUCAUUUGCACAAGUAUCCAAAAACCAAUUUUUCACACUGUGAGUCAUUGCUUCCCGUUCUCUAGCUCUCUGAACAGAGGUUAAGUGGGAUGGAGGCUUUGAUGGAGAUGAGCAGCUUUCAGCUGCUGGUGGGUGACUUGCAGCUGAUGUCGCCUGUAGGCUCCCAUGGGGAGGUGAUGUAAGGAUAAAUUGGAGAGCAAAUGCAGGCAGAUGUGACUGACCACAGGAUGCUAAUGUGAGCUACUGCCAUUGCAAGUGCUUGAGACAGUACACAUUUCUGAGCCUGUCAUUACUAGCAACUCUGAGAUUUUUUGCUGGGAAAAAGCACUUUGUUUAAAUUACUGCACUUGCUCUGAGUGCAAAAUGCUUUGAGUUUAAGUGAGUCAAAGGAGAAGAUACUGC